AGGGAUGCAUUGAUCUGUCGCCUUUGGUGUUAGAUGCUCAGAUACUGCCCUAUAAGUUGGGAGAAUGAGUAAUCCUUUCCAGCCCCCUUAGACAGAUCAGUUCUUGAAAGUUGGAUGCCACAUUUGUUUCCUUGGUUUCAGCCUUUGUUGUCUCUGGAUUUUGUUGCUUGCCAUUUGUUACCUUGAGUUGCAUGGGAAGGACUGGUAGUUUUCAUUUUGGUCCGAUUUUGUUCACAAACCAAGUUCAAUCUCUUUGUAUGUCCAAAUCCAUGUAUAGUUGGUUAUCAC
rnacentral:lncRNA from 1 species